rnacentral:rRNA from 1 species
CCCAGACUCCUACGGGAGGCAGCAGUGGGGGAUAUUGCACAAUGGGGGGAACCCUGAUGCAGCGACGCCGCGUGGGUGAAGGAGCGUUUCGGCGCGUAAAGCCCUAUCGGCAGGGAAGAAGGAGGACGGUACCUGACUAAGAAGCCCCGGCUAACUACGUGCCAGCAGCCGCGGUAAUACGGAGGGGGCAAGCGUUAACCGGAAUUACUGGGGGUAAAGGGGGCGGAGGCGGGGGGGCAAGGCAGGAGGGAAAGCCCGGGGGCCAACCCCGGGACUGGCCUUGGAACUGGGCGGCUGGAGUGCAGGAGGGGCAGGCGGAAUUUCUGGUGUAGCGGUGAAAUUCGUA